GUGACAGAUAUCAAACAAUGUUUCUAUACAAGGGAAUAUUUUUUGUAUAGGCAAGUAUAUAAAGAAACUAUUAGGAAUAUCUUGUUAUGUAUUAAAGAGAGUUUUUUAAUUUGUGUAUUUCAUUAAAAAUGUAGCACAUGUACUCUUAGAGAAAUUCAAUAAUAAACGAAGUGAAUUGAAAUAUCUUAGUAACUUCAGGAAAAGAAAUCAAACGAGAUUCUAUGAUUAGUGUGAAUGAAAAUAGAACAGCCUAUAAAAAUCAGAAAAUAUAUAUUUAUAUAUUUUUUACUUAAAUAAAUAAGUAAAACGGGCAAUAACCUGUUUGAAUAUAAGGGGAACCUUCCUCUAAGGCUAAAUAUAAUACAUAAGCGAUAGCGUAAAGUACUGUGAAGGAAAGGUUGAAAUAGUAGUUUUAUAAGCAGCUCAAGUUUAAAUAAAUAAUACGAGCGUACCUUUUGCAUAUUGCGACAAUGAAGUUGCUGUUAACAAUGGAGUGUGAUACUCUCAAGAUUGCUCUAUCUUGAUCCUAUCUAGACAUGCGCCUGAAGUAAUUUAGGGGUGUGAAGCUCUAGAGAGAAUGGCGAAAGCUUAGGAUAAAUGUAGACUAUGGUAAGCGUAAGCGAAGAUAUGGUUGAGGUUUCGUAAAAAGUGUCUAUGUAUGUAGCAUGGGAUUAGGAAUGAAACGACUAUGCAGGGAAGUCAGAGCCAUAAUAUCCACGGAAUAUAGUAUCUACCUAAGGUCUAAUAUAAAUUUGUGUUAACAGCGGAACAUGGUAAGCCCAAUAGCUACUGUAAUUUAUUACAGAGGCCUGAUAUAUCGAAAAAAAUAUAGAGGUUGUGACUCUGCGGAAAUGAUGGUAUCGGCUAGUGGGUAUGAGAGAGGCUAAAAAGCGAACGCCUUAUUGUAAUGAUAGGGAUAGAGCCAUAUGGCUUAUGUUGAAAGACAGCAGACUUAGUCAUCAGUGUCCUGACUUGAUUAUAAAUAGUUCCAGUUUAAAAUUUUUCUUCCACCUUUGUCUAAAUAAGAUCACACUGUCAUAUAAGGACAAAAAAAAAAAAAAUCUGCUAUCAUAGUUGAUGCCCCACGGAAAAAAACCUGGAAAAAGUUAAUAAUAUUAAGAAGGUGAUUUCGUAAGAAGUCCCAGUAAUUAGUAGCGACGACUCUCGGGUACAAGGGGAUAGCGAAAAUACUGACAGGAGGCUCAAAGGCUCGUGAGGGCCGGACCUACCCGGUAUGGGUCAGCAAGUUAAUAUUAGAUGCGAGCAGUAAUGCCUAGAUAAACCAAUUAUGAAAUAAUGAAUUAGUAUCUAAAAUUAGACCCGAAGCCUAGUGAUCUUACCAUGGUCAGGGUUAUAAAAGCCCGAACGGUUUAUCGUUGUAAAGAUAUCCGAUGAACUGUGGUAAGUUAGUGAAAGACAAAACUGACUAGGAUAGCUGGUUUUCUGCGAAACCUAUAUAAGUAGGUAAUUCAAGUUACAUCAUAGCAGGUACAGAACUGUGAUCUCAGGCAACUUAUAAUUUUUUAUCUAGCCAUUGCUUAGAUAAGAAAUAAUUUUGCAUAUAUCGGGGAAUCGUGAGGAUUUUAUCGGUGAGUAUUCGCACUCGGAAGGGCAAUGAUGAAUAUUAAAAUGUAUUGAAUAAUCGGACAUAGUACGAUAAGGUUGUAUGUCUAAAGGGAAACAGCCCAGAACAAGAGUUAAGGUUCCAAAAUUAUUGUUAAGUGAAACUAAGGAAGUUUCUAUCUAAUACAACUAGGAAAUAGGCUUAGAAGCGGCUAUUUUUUGAAGACCUCGUAACAGAGCACUGGUUUAGUAAACAAAACUUUACAUUGAUAGUUGCACCGAAAAUUUAACGGAUCUAAACAAUAUACCGACACCUUGUCCAUAUUGUUAAAGAUGAUUUAUAAUUUAACUAUGGGGUAGCAGAACGUUGGGUAAAUCUAAGACAUAUUCUUUUUAAGAGUAUAUAAUUAAUUUAGGCACGCCUAAAUUAGUAGGUAACCCAAGUGAGAAUGCUGACAUGAGUAACGAAAAAGGGUCCCGUAAUUUGGGGAAUAUCUAACAAAAGAUAUUAUAGCCCUCGCCUAAAGCUUAUGGAUUUAUUAAAGUAACGGCCUCUAAGUUUAUUAACCUAAAGGAUUAAACGAUGAGUAAACCUUACCUACAAAGUAACAACAUCUUCUUGUUUUGUAAUAAAAUUUAUACUCGCCCCUGAGGUGAGAGUGAUAAUAUUUAUACUUUGUAAGAAAAGUGAAGAAGGUUCUGGAAAAACUUGUAACAAGUAAUGUUUAUUUUAUUACUUUAAAUAUACUAAAAUAUAUGAAAAUUGAUGAAAUAAGGCUAAAUAAACCGUACCUAAAUACUACCACAAGUAAGCAAGUAGAGAAUACGAAGGCGUUUGAGUGAACAAUCAUUAAGGAACUCGGCAAACUAACUACCGUAACUUCGGGAUAAGGAGAGCCAUUCUUACUUAUUAAUAUAAGGUAAAGAAUAGGAAGCAUGGAAUAGUGUUGUACGACUGUUUAAUUAAAACAAAGCACUUUGCAAUAAGAUAAUAAAUCAAAGUAUUGAGUGUGAUUUCUGCCCAAUGUCGGCUGGUUAACGAAUUUUCUAGGUUGACUAAUAUAAGUUUGGAUUUGAAGGAAACCCCGAUCAAUGGCGGCCUUACCUAUGAGGGUCCUAAGGUAGCGGAAUACCCUGGCCGUUAAAUGCGGUCUUGCAUGAAUGAUUUAACGAUACAACAGCUGUCUCAAUGAUUGGCUCAGUGAAAUUGGAAUAACUGUGCAGAUACAGUUUACCUCUAGAUAGACGAGAAGACCCUAUGCAGCUUUACUGUUGCUAGUUAUUGAAUAUGAUUGAACUAAUAUUAGUGUAUAAGGUAGUUGGAGGCAAUUUUUUAAACCUCGUUUAGACAAAAUUGAAACACCUUUAUUUUGUUUAUCAUAUUCGUAGGCUAUAGAGUCUGCGUUAUAAUAUAAGGUAUGUUGAUGUUAUGUUAUGUAAUGUUAUGUUAUUAAGUAUUAUAAUUAACCCAUCAAAUGGGAACAAUGGCUAGGAGGCAGUUUAUGCGGGGCACAGAUCCCAUAAAAAGUACCUGGGUGUAUCCAAAGUUAAUUUUGUAAAAUUGUCAUGACUUACUUAUGACAAUUAAAUAUACAAAUUGUAUAUUUUUAUUUUUAGUUUGUUAUUGGUUUAGCUUAGGCUAUAACUAAUCCAACUAUAUAUCUAUUAAGUUAGAAUUAUUAAUUUAAUUUAAGUAAGAUUUUAACUAUAUGGAAAAUAGAUGUAAUUAAAACAUUAAUUUGAAAAUACUUUUCUAAUGUUUUUAGUUAUAUAAUUAGUUUAAAUUACACUUUUUAUAUAAUUAUGUUUAUUACUUGUCAAGUUUAAUGGCUUAAUCUUGCUUUACUGUUUGACUUACACGUCUAUCAGUCGCGUAAGCGGGGCAUAUGAUCACAAGAUGCAGAAAGGAAAGGUCUUGGAUUUUUGAAAAAGCUACGCUAGGGAUGUUAGUCCUCCAUUGUUUUAUUUCUAAAAAUUUUAGCGAAUAAAUCUAUUGGUUAAUUAACAAAAAAAAAAAUUUUUUUUUGUGGGAUUUUUACAAUUUCGCGUUGCAGUUAAUAAAUAUACAGAAAAUAAAUAAAUAUGAAGAAAUAGUCUGAACCAUUUUGUAAAAAAUGGAUAUAAAGAAGUAAAUAAAUUUCUUUUAUUAACAAAAAUUGAACAGGCUAAUUGCGCCAGAGAGUACAAAUUGAGUGCGCAGUUUGGCACCUCGAUGUCGGCUUAACUUAUCCACAUGAAUGCAGGAAUCAUGAAGGGUUCGACUGUUCGUCGAUUAAAAAGUUACACGAGCUGGGUUAAAUACGUCGUGAGACAGUAUGGUUUCUAUCUUCUAGAGGAAAUUAGAAUAAAAUAAGGAUAGCCCCCUCGUACGAAAGGAGCUGGGUAUAUUAACCUCUGGUUUACCUGUUGUUUAUGUGCCCUAUAAUUGCCCAACAAACUAACAUAGAUGAGCGAAUAGGGAUGUUACUUUCACUUAAGUAAAUAUUUUGUAUCAUAGCAUAGGCACGGCAGGAACGCUAAGUUAGUUAGAGAUAAGUGCUGAAUGCAUCUAGGCACGAAACUUACCUUAAGAUAUUCUUAAAUAUACGUAGUUGAACACUACGAUUUUGUAGUUAAUAUUAAUUUUAUAUUUUAUUAUUUUUAAUUAGUAUUAAGUGCAAUUAAUAGGCUUUAGCUGAAAGAA
rnacentral:rRNA from 1 species